UGCUAAAAGGCCAUUUUCGGGAC
rnacentral:piRNA from 1 species